UACGAAGGGGGCUAGCGUUGUUCGGAAUCACUGGGCGUAAAGCGUACGUAGGCGGAUUGCUAAGUCAGGGGUGAAAUCCCGAGGCUCAACCUCGGAACUGCCUUUGAUACUGGCUGUCUUGAGUUCGGGAGAGGUGAGUGGAACUCCUAGUGUAGAGGUGAAAUUCGUAGAUAUUAGGAAGAACACCAGUGGCGAAGGCGGCUCACUGGCCCAUUACUGACGCUGAGGAGCGAAAAGUGUGGGGAGCGGAACAGG
rnacentral:rRNA from 1 species